rnacentral:rRNA from 1 species
UACCUGCAGCUCGAGUGGUAACCGCUAUUAUUGGGCCUAAAGCGUCUGUAGCCGGUUUGGUAAAUAUCUGGGUAAAUCGUGAGGCUUAACUUCACGAAUUUCGGAUAGACUGCCAGACUUGGGAUCGGGGGAGGUCAGAGGUACUCCAGGGGUAGCGGUGAAAUGUUGUAUCCUUGGAGGACCACCGGUAGCGAAGGCGUCUGACUAGAACGAGUCCGACGGUGAGGGACGAAGCCCUGGGGCGCAAACCGGAUUAGAUACCCGGGUAGUCCAGGGUGUAAACAAUGUGGGCUUUGUAUUGGAGGUUCCACGUGGGCGUCCGAGUGCAGAAGAGAAGUUGUUAAGCCCACCGCCUGGGAAGUACGGUCGCAAGGCUGCAACUUAAAGGAAUUGCGGGGAGCACCACAAGGCGUGAAGCUUGCGGUUC